rfam:Actinomadura sp. CNT-125 NODE_29_length_58963_cov_86.3499_ID_8571, whole genome shotgun sequence.
CGCUCAUCCAGAGGGGUGGAGGGACCGGCCCUGCGAAGCCCCGGCAACCACCUGGUCAGUGUGCGUUCGCGACCCCGCGAGGCCGACCGGGAGAAGGUGCCAACUCCGGCCUGCGACCAAGGUGGCGCAGGAAAGAUGGGGA